GACGUUCGGGUCGUGGCCGGCGCGGCGGACCGUGUCCUGGACGGCGUUGUCGGCGGCGGUACGCAGCAGCGCCGGUACGACCCCGGCGAGCAGCGC
rnacentral:tRNA from 1 species